AAGAGGACUUGGGGAUACUCUGGAAGGCACAGUCAGUCUCUGACUUGAACUGCACAUCUGUCCUCUGGCAGAGCUGGGGCUGGAGAGUGCUUACUACGUAGUCCAGGCUUACCUUAAACUUGUGCCUCUACCUAAAAGGCUGGAGCUGAGGUCAUCUGCUGAGGCCUAGAAAGUCUCAGAUGAUGCAAGUAGAAAAAGAAAACCCGCCUUCACAUUAAAAACAAAAAUGACAAAAGAAAGUUACAACACCACACUGUUGCUGAACCCAUGGCUGGCAUCGUCAAACUAAACCAAACCAAACCACCAAAUGUUUUAGUCAGGUCACAGGCCACACUUGUGGAACCUGGGACAGUUCAGCUUCUCACCUGAUUCCGCUGCCUCACAACAAAAGUUCUGGCAUCACUACAAGACAGCACAUCUUCUUUGUUCUGCAGAAAUCUGCUCAAAAGGCCACAGGCUCUGAACACCUCAGAAUGGAAACAAGGCACCAAGACAAGAACGCAGUGCGACAAAACAGAGCGUAGAAGUCAUGGGACAUCUGGAUCAGAAACAUAAACAGGUAUUUUGACGUGUGUUUUCCGUAGCUGAUCACACUUC
rnacentral:lncRNA from 1 species